GGUUAAGCGACUAAGCGUACACGGUGGAUGCCCUGGCAGUCAGAGGCGAUGAAGGGCGUGCUAAUCUGCGAUAAGCGCCGGUAAGGUGAUAUGAACCGUUAUAACCGGCGAUACCCGAAUGGGGAAACCCAGUGUGAUUCGUCACACUAUCAUUAACUGAAUCCAUAGGUUAAUGAGGCGAACCGGGGGAACUGAAACAUCUAAGUACCCCGAGGAAAAGAAAUCAACCGAGAUUCCCCCAGUAGCGGCGAGCGAACGGGGAGGAGCCCAGAGCCUGAAUCAGCAUGUGUGUUAGUGGAAGCGUCUGGAAAGGCGCGCGAUACAGGGUGACAGCCCCGUACACAAAAGCGCAUAUGCUGUGAGCUCGAUGAGUAGGGCGGGACACGUGGUAUCCUGUCUGAAUAUGGGGGGACCAUCCUCCAAGGCUAAAUACUCCUGACUGACCGAUAGUGAACCAGUACCGUGAGGGAAAGGCGAAAAGAACCCCGGCGAGGGGAGUGAAAAAGAACCUGAAACCGUGUACGUACAAGCAGUGGGAGCCCCACCACUAAGCCAGUGGUGAACUCCACAUACGCAUCCUUUGCUGAGGAGACGGUUAACGGAGCGAAAGCGACGUUCAACCUCAAAAGAAGCAGAGGGGGCUUAGUGGUGGGGUGACUGCGUACCUUUUGUAUAAUGGGUCAGCGACUUAUAUUCUGUAGCAAGGUUAACUGUAUAGGGGAGCCGGAGGGAAACCGAGUCUUAACCGGGCGUUAAGUUGCAGGGUAUAGACCCGAAACCCGGUGAUCUAGCCAUGGGCAGGUUGAAGGUUGGGUAACACUAACUGGAGGACCGAACCGACUAAUGUUGAAAAAUUAGCGGAUGACCUGUGGCUGGGGGUGAAAGGCCAAUCAAACCGGGAGAUAGCUGGUUCUCCCCGAAAGCUAUUUAGGUAGCGCCUCGUGAAUUCAUCUCCGGGGGUAGAGCACUGUUUCGGCUAGGGGGCCAUCCCGGCUUACCAACCCGAUGCAAACUGCGAAUACCGGAGAAUGUUAUCACGGGAGACACACGGCGGGUGCUAAUGUCCGUCGUGAAGAGGGAAACAACCCAGACCGCCAGCUAAGGUCCCAAAGUCAUGGUUAAGUGGGAAACGAUGUGGGAAGGCCCAGACAGCCAGGAUGUUGGCUUAGAAGCAGCCAUCAUUUAAAGAAAGCGUAAUAGCUCACUGGUCGAGUCGGCCUGCGCGGAAGAUGUAACGGGGCUAAACCAUGCACCGAAGCUGCGGCAGCGACACCGUGUGUUGUUGGGUAGGGGAGCGUUCUGUAAGCCUGUGAAGGUGUGCUGUGAGGCAUGCUGGAGGUAUCAGAAGUGCGAAUGCUGACAUAAGUAACGAUAAAGCGGGUGAAAAGCCCGCUCGCCGGAAGACCAAGGGUUCCUGUCCAACGUUAAUCGGGGCAGGGUGAGUCGACCCCUAAGGCGAGGCCGAAAGGCGUAGUCGAUGGGAAACGGGUUAAUAUUCCCGUACUUGGUGUUACUGCGAAGGGGGGACGGAGAAGGCUAUGUUGGCCGGGCGACGGUUGUCCCGGUUUAAGCGUGUAGGUAUGUGUUCCAGGUAAAUCCGGUUCACUUUAACACUGAGGCGUGACGACGAGGCACUACGGUGCUGAAGCAACAAAUGCCCUGCUUCCAGGAAAAGCCUCUAAGCAUCAGGUAACAUCAAAUCGUACC
rnacentral:rRNA from 1 species